AUCACUUGGGAAUCUUGUUAAGAAUGCGGAUUCUGAUUCAGUAGGUCUGAGAUGGGACUUGAGAUUCUACAUUUUUAACAAGGUCCCAGGUGAUGCUGC
rnacentral:pre_miRNA from 1 species